rnacentral:rRNA from 1 species
GACGAACGCUGGCGGCGUGCUUAACACAUGCAAGUCGAACGGAAAGGCCCUGCUUGCAGGGUACUCGAGUGGCGAACGGGUGAGUAACACGUGGGUGAUCUGCCCUGCACUUCGGGAUAAGCCUGGGAAACUGGGUCUAAUACCGGAUAGGAGCCAUUUUUAGCGUGAUGGUUGGAAAGUUUUUUCGGUGUAGGAUGAGCUCGCGGCCUAUCAGCUUGUUGGUGGGGUAAUGGCCUACCAAGGCGGCGACGGGUAGCCGGCCUGAGAGGGUGGACGGCCACAUUGGGACUGAGAUACGGCCCAGACUCCUACGGGAGGCAGCAGUGGGGAAUAUUGCACAAUGGGCGCAAGCCUGAUGCAGCGACGCCGCGUGGGGGAUGACGGCCUUCGGGUUGUAGACUCCUUUCGCUAGGGACGAAGCUUUUUGUGACGGUACCUAGAUAAGAAGCACCGGCUAACUACGUG